AACGAACGCUGGCGGCAGGCCUAACACAUGCAAGUCGAGCGAACCGCAAGGUUAGCGGCGGACGGGUGAGUAACGCGUGGGAACGUGCCCUUUGCUACGGAAUAGCCCUGGGAAACUGGGAGUAAUACCGUAUGUGCCCUUUGGGGGAAAGAUUUAUCGGCAAAGGAUCGGCCCGCGUUGGAUUAGGUAGUUGGUGGGGUAAUGGCCUACCAAGCCGACGAUCCAUAGCUGGUUUGAGAGGAUGAUCAGCCACACUGGGACUGAGACACGGCCCAGACUCCUACGGGAGGCAGCAGUGGGGAAUCUUAGACAAUGGGGGAAACCCUGAUCUAGCCAUGCCGCGUGAGCGAUGAAGGCCUUAGGGUUGUAAAGCUCUUUCAGUGGGGAAGAUAAUGACGGUACCCACAGAAGAAGCCCCGGCUAACUCCGUGCCAGCAGCCGCCGUAA
rnacentral:rRNA from 1 species